rnacentral:rRNA from 1 species
UACGGAGGGUGCGAGCGUUAAUCGGAAUUACUGGGCGUAAAGCGCACGCAGGCGGUUUGUUAAGCUAGAUGUGAAAGCCCCGGGCUCAACCUGGGAUGGUCAUUUAGAACUGGCAGACUAGAGUCUUGGAGAGGGGAGUGGAAUUCCAGGUGUAGCGGUGAAAUGCGUAGAUAUCUGGAGGGACAUCAGUGGCGAAGGCGACUCCCUGGCCAAAGACUGACGCUCAUGUGCGAAAGUGUGGGUAGCGAACAGG